rnacentral:lncRNA from 1 species
CUGGGAACCUGCCCCCAGUUGGUUCUGAUUGGUAAAUAGAGAUGCCAGCAGUCAAUAGCUAGGAAGGACAGACAGAGGCGGGAUUUUAGGACCCUGCCCCCUCUUGGGACCGGAAGCAGAGAGGAGAAGGAGGAGAUCCAUCAGGUUGGAAGAGUGUGGAGUGACGCCAUGCUUGAGAAGAGAGCAGGACAAAAGAGCACGGCCCUGAGGGUUGCCCAACAGGGUCUAGAGCGGCCAAGAUAGAACAUAGAAUUCAGUCUCCGAGAAGAUAUUGGCACAGUGACAGGACUGCCUGCAUUGCGGUAUAAUAACCACUGAGAAGCACUGCUUCCUUGCCUUGCCCGCUGCCAGAGCUUGGCCUAAACUGUGGACAAACAAAAGGUAUGCAGAGAAUAGGGAACGAACUGGGGGAACUCUCGAGGUGAUCAGCGGUCUCCAUUCCUAUGUCAUGAGAGUUCCAUCAUGUGAUGAGGAUCUUUCACUGAACGUGGAGCCAGACUGGACACCAGCAAGCCCCAGAGACCCUCCUGUCUCCACUCCUUGAAAUGCUAGGGUCACAGGUGUGCAACGGCCAUAUUUGGCUUUUUAUGUGCACUCUGAGGACUUGAACUGAGGUCCUCACAGUAGCUCAGCAAGUGGUCUUACUGUCUCAGCCAUUUCUCCAGCCCCACGUUGUCAGAGUUUUAAAGAGAAGCUGGCAACUCAAGCUUUUUAUGUGAAAUAACUGUUUAAAAAAAAAAUAGUAGCAACUAAAUAAAAUUAAAAGUGAC